AUUGAACGCUGGCGGCAGGCUUAACACAUGCAAGUCGAGCGGGGUGAUGGUGCUUGCACUAUCACUUAGCGGCGGACGGGUGAGUAAUGCUUAGGAAUCUGCCUAUUAGUGGGGGACAACAUCUCGAAAGGGAUGCUAAUACCGCAUACGUCCUACGGGAGAAAGCAGGGGAUCACUUGUGACCUUGCGCUAAUAGAUGAGCCUAAGUCGGAUUCAGCUAGUUGGUGGGGUAAAGGCCUACCAAGGCGACGAUCUGUAGCGGGUCUGAGAGGAGGAUCCGGCACGCUGGGACUGCGACACGGCCCAGACUCCUACGGGAGGCAGCAGUGGGGAAUAUUGGACAAUGGGGGGAACCCUGAUCCAGCCAUGCCGCGUGUGUGAAGAAGGCCUUAUGGUUGUAAAGCACUUUAAGCGAGGAGGAGGCUCUUUUGGUUAAUACCCAAGAUGAGUGGACGUUACUCGCAGAAUAAGCACCGGCUAACUCUGUGCCAGCCGCCGCCGUAA
rnacentral:rRNA from 1 species